AGCUGCUCAGAAAAUGGAUGGAUGGGUGGAUGGAAGGACGUUGGGGUUGAUUAAUAACUCGGCUAAGUCAACUUAAAUUUAAAAAAAAGUUGACACAAAAUUUCGCUUCCGGAACCAUAACAAAAAUAUUUCCGGAUUAUCUCAUGUUUCACACGGACAUUAAUUGCAGACGGACCCACUGCCAGUGAUAAACUAAAAAAAAAACGACAGGAGCGUCUGGGCCGGAUUGACCCCCAGAUUGGCCGGUUCAGGGCCGCAGGCCUUGUGUUUGACACCUGCAGUUUAAGAGGAUUUUGCCUGAGUGGGAAGGUUAAAAGGAGCCGCAACAAAUCCAGAGAACCUUUGCCUCGACUUGGCCGUGCUGUUCUGACCCCAAUAAACAAGUCCUAUAAUUGCGUCAACCGCACCCUGAGGAAUGCCCACACUCCCAAGUGUUUGACCCCGCAUGAUACCUACAACGGCACGACUGAAAAAUUAAGAAAUAUGAUUUCGGGGUCUAUAAACGUAAACGCGUGCAUUCGGAGCUCACAAGAAAUUGGCUGUUGUAACAGGACCGUGAGCUCAAACGGAAACAAGCAAGUCAACAACAGAAGGAUUUCAGACGAAAAUGCGACCCAGGCAAAGUCCUGACCUCAACCUGAUUGAGAUGUUGUGGCAUGAACCCCAAGAGACCGAUUGACACCUGACAUCCCCAGAAUUGUGCUGAACGGCAACAGUUUUACGAAGCGGAAUGGUCGCAAAUUCGCAAGUUCACUUUCUUUCUCCUCCCUCUCCUGUAUAAACUACAUAUUUAUAUGAUAAUUCUUGUACACUAUUAGUUUAACCAGACUUUGUGUUUGUUAUAUGUGUUUAUUCUGGUGAUUUAGAUAAAGAUGAGACCACGUUUUAUGACCCAUUUAUGCAGAAAUGUAAGAAUUUCCAAAGGGGUCGCAUACUUUUCCUUCCCCGUCCGUGUGGGCUUAGUUGGCCCACGUAUAAAGCUGUCCGCUUUUAAUCCGAGCGUUAGUUUUAUCGAUCUUUGGUUUCCCGCGGCGACACGUAUUUUUCUGUGAAACUGUCCUGCCCCGACAAGGGGAGAGUUUAUCGCGGCGCUGACAGGCCGCGGUAAGGCGACACAUAACAAAUGGACUCGUGUCGUGGCUUACGUGUCUGCCUUAAAAGACAACAACAACUGCAUGAAAUAAAAUUCUGUCCGCUUUCCUGGCAGCCCGCCAUUAUCGGCGGGGCGUCCGAACCGGGCUGUGCGUGCGUGUCAGAGAACACACGUUACUGGGAAUACACACUGGGAGCGGAGCGUAGUGCAAUGGGUUCAGUAUUGCAAGAAGUGAGAGAGCUGCGUGUAAAUUCUGGAAUAAACAAGUACCGGAUCGUAAUGUAAACAACGCCGAACGCAAUGUCGUGGAGCCACCGCGUGUCAGGAUCUGCCGUGAAAGCGGUGUUUCAAAAGCAUAAAUCCAAUAAAACGGGGAGCAGAUUUUGUGCGGCACGUAAGCGGCGUAGCUGACCAAAACUGUUGUGGACACACAACAACGUGCUAGACUACAUGUGCGAAUCUGCUGUGAGGCCUACGGUAUUCUUGUCUUUUCCGAUCACUGAGCUUUAUCUUGUUAACUCAAGCGACAACAAGUGUGGAUCGUGUUCUGUGUAUUAUAAGAACAAAACGGGUUGUGGUGUUCAAAAGUGCUCUGGAGAAGACUUUAAUUCAAGGUUUGCUUCAGGUACAUUCAGAUACUUUUAAUAGGUUACGCUCGGUCAUCCGGGAGGGGCUCAGUGUCGAGCCGCCGCUCCUCCAAAUUGAGAGGAGCCAGAUGAGGUGGCUGGGGCAUCUGAUUCGGACGCCUCCCUGGUGAGGUGUUCCGGGCAUGUCCCGCCCGAAAGAGACCACGAGGGCGACCCAGGACACGCAGGAGAGACUACGUCUCUCGGCAGGCUUGGGAACGCCUCGGGAUGCCUCCGGAAGAGCUGGAAGAAGUGGCUGGGGGAAGGGAAGUCUGGGUAUCCCUGCUGAAGCUACUUCCCCUGCAAUCUAAAAUCUCUGAUUUUAUCACUCGUACAAUCGUGCUGGAGAGACUACGUCUCUCGGCUGGGUUGGGAACACCUCGGGAUCCCUCCGGAAGAGCUGGAAGAAGUGGCUGGGGGAAGGGAAGUCUGGGUAUCCCUGCUGAAGCUACUUUUCCCGUGACCCGACCUGGAAAAGCAGUACAUAAUGGAUGGAUGGCUCGCAAGCAGGCAACGAAAUGUUAUGUAGCCUUCUAAGAUAGUGCUAGCACUAAUGUAGUACCGCUGUUUUGUCGGAUUAUGCACGAAAGGUUCGGUGUGUGUGUGUGAAGUAAUUUAGGACCCAUUAAUUCUGAUUGGGUCAAGCCUGUUUGCGACUUCUGAUUUUUAGUGGCAUGAAGCAUAUACAGAACAGCCUCGGUUUUCGAUCACAAUCCGUUCCAGAAGGCGGUUCCAGGAACAAUUUAUUCGAAAACCCAAUCGGUAUUUCCCACGUCAGCGUACAGAGGCUGUGUUAUACACAAUAACAAAGCGCGUUUUGGAUCACUUGGUCGGGCCGUGUUCGUUAUGUUAUUUGUUAUUUUUCGUGGUGCGUUCGAAUUCACAAUAACAACACGCGUUGUGGGUCAGCUCAACGGCUCGUCGGCCGCCGCACCUUCCAGUCCAGGCGGCCGACAAGCCUUCGCCGCCGUUCCUAUCUCGGCGGCGGCUGGUCGGGUCGCACGUGUUAUGUUAUUUCCGAGUUUUUUCGCGGUGUGUUCGAAUUCACAAUAACAACGUGCGUCGUGGGUGAGCUGGUCUGGCCACGCGCGAUAUGUUAAGUCUGGGUUUUGUCGCGGGCAUUCGAGUACCGUUUUCGUUCAAAAACAUGCAAAAAAAAAAAUCUCAAUUUUCGUUCAGAACCCGAUUUGUUCGACAAUGGACACUUUCGAGAACCGAGUAUUCACUGGUAACUAAAAAUAACAUUUGACAUGGUUGACUUGGUUUUAUGAAGUACUUUUUUAGAUAAACAGUUGAAACACCCCUAUUUUAUGAGUGUAUGUAGGUGCUGCUAUUUUGUUAGCAACCUAGUUCCACUGUCAAAAAAAUUAAAAAUAACGCAACUCCUUUGGAGAUAACAUCGCACUGCUUAGUCACCUUUUUGCCUACAAGGUGUCAAACUGUCACUGAGGCCCAAACCUUGCCACCCCCACACCGCUUGAAAGCUUUUCUGUGUCCGUGACAGGCCCAGGAAACAAAUGACUGGCACCAAAAUAUACAAAGCGGCUUCAGUGACGCCGGCCCUUUAAGGAAAGAAGUUCCGUCCGGGCUUGUAUUUUCUGACACGUCCCGGCGUUAAACAAAUGUACCGUCGCUCAGUUCCAGCUGUCUCUUCUACGACUGGCACAGCGGGACAGAACGAGCUACAUCGUGGGCUUGUGUAAAAUGCGCUCGGAGAGAAACGCAUUCCAACAUGUCUUACGGGCCCGCCAGUGUGAAAGAAUACAUUGGUCAUCAUUACCUUCAGAUAAGAACCAUUAAACGCCACCAUGCUGGGCCAGACCCCUGCUGGUGUCAAGCUGGACUUUCCCACAGUCACUACAACUUUUGUCUUCUUUGGGGCGCUACUAGCCAGUUACAUUCACACUUCUCUGAUAACAAAUUUGCUCUUAUUAUUUGGGGGUAAAUCAUCUCAUUGUUGUUGGGCCUGCAAGCUUGUCUCCCCGCGCGCAAUAGUUUGGUCACUACACA